CACGGCCCGACCUCUCCGUCGCUGCCGCGAGUCGCCGCCCGUCGGCCCGCCUGCCUUGAGAAGGGGUCUCCGAACUUACUGUUUUUUAAAAAAGAAGGGGUUUCAAGGAGCUUGAGUGGUUCACCGACAUGGACCUGUUCCACCACGAUCAUUCGCUCGCCGCCAAGAGGGACAGAACCAUGCAGAGGUCCCAAAGCUCUUCAGCUCGCCGCAGCCCGCGAGCAACGCAAACUUCUACAAGACAGUCGGUGUGCGCCAGAGCAAAAGGGCACGGGUGGAGCUGGCUAACGAUGACGAGGACUACCUCAUCGUCCCUGAUCUUGGAGGAGAUAUCUGAAUUAAACAGUUCUUAACUACAAUAUAUAUGUGUGACGAUGUAGUAAUAUUCAUGCAUGUAUGCAAAGUAUAUACUAUCGUUUUGUUUAGUUGCCAAUGCACAUAUGAAACUGUAAUACAAUUCGAGGAAAUAAUUCCAGAACGAAAUGGGUUUCAGGCAUGCGACGAGUUUGCCUGUUGCGUGUGUUCUGUUCAUCGAGGCAGAACCUUAACAGUUAUGUACCAUCACCCGUGAGAGUUGGAAACAUGUAACUAUGAAGUUCAGUGUUCCAAGCUUUUACUGUGAUUUUACAAUCAACGUGUGAACAGUUUACAUGUA